rnacentral:misc_RNA from 2 species
AAACUACAAGGGGAGCCGAAGCUCCCCAAGAAGUAGUUGCGUGUUCUAUUUUUAUUAUUGGUUUCGGGCUUCUUGUUUUUGUGUUGCGCCCUUGCCAUGAGGUUUGCCUUCAUGACGCUCCCAAUCGGGAGUCAAGAGCAAACGGAUUGCUUUGAUCGCUGUGCUGCAAUGAUCUGUUCGAUCCAACCAGUUCAGGCUCUGUCUUAGGACAGUU